AUACGGAGGAUGCAAGCGUUAUCCGGAUUUAUUGGGUUUAAAGGGUGCGCAGGCGGAAUAUUAAGUCAGUGGUGAAAGCCUACAGCUUAACUGUAGAACUGCCAUUGAUACUGGUAUUCUUGAGUGUUGUUGAGGUAGGCGGAAUGUGUCAUGUAGCGGUGAAAUGCUUAGAUAUGACACAGAACACCGAUCGCGAAGGCAGCUUACCAAGCAACUACUGACGCUCAUGCACGAAAGCGUGGGGAUCAAACAGGAUUAGAUACCCUGGUAGUCCACGCCGUAAACGAUGAUCACUCGAUGUUGGCGAUACACAGUCAGCGUCUAAGCGAAAGUAAUAAGUGAUCCACCUGGGGAGUACGAUCGCAAGAUUGAA
rnacentral:rRNA from 1 species